rnacentral:rRNA from 1 species
UACGUAGGGUGCAAGCGUUGUCCGGAUUCAUUGGGCGUAAAGAGCUCGUAGGCGGUUCGUCGCGUCGGCUGUGAAAUCCCGAGGCUCAACCUCGGGUCUGCAGUCGAUACGGGCGGACUGGAGUUCGGCAGGGGAGACUGGAAUUCCUGGUGUAGCGGUGAAAUGCGCAGAUAUCAGGAGGAACACCGGUGGCGAAGGCGGGUCUCUGGGCCGAUACUGACGCUGAGGAGCGAAAGCGUGGGGAGCGAACAGG